GACCUCAGCCAAAGUCAGAUGCUCAACCGACUGAGCCACCCAGGUGAUUGAAAAUACACUGAGUGAAUGAUCUAUGUGUACCUGAGGCUAAUAUUAAGUACUCUCCACCUCACCCAUAAUAUUCUGCCCACUACUUUAUUAUAAGUGCUAUGCUUUUGACUCUACUUGAAGAUUCUUCAGGCCUCUGCAUUCUUCAGAAGGAAAAAUAGAUACUAACGCACUGCUGUGAAACAGGACUCAACUGAAAUGUCACUCUUCAAUGAUGACUCCCGUAAAGCACCUGUUCAAAACUGGACCCCUCUUGUUAAACUCUCUUCACAGCACUUCCAUCUGGUUUUAACAUAGUUG